UGGGGAAUAUUGCACAAUGGGCGCAAGCCUGAUGCAGCCAUGCCGUGUGUAUGAAGAAGGCCUUCGGGUUGUAAAGUACUUUCAGCGGGGAGGAAGGUGUUGUGGUUAAUAACCACAGCAAUUGACGUUACCCGCAGAAGAAGCACCGGCUAACUCCGUGCCAGCAGCCGCGGUAAUACGGAGGGUGCAAGCGUUAAUCGGAAUUACUGGGCGUAAAGCGCACGCAGGCGGUCUGUCAAGUCGGAUGUGAAAUCCCCGGGCUCAACCUGGGAACUGCAUCCGAAACUGGCAGGCUUGAGUCUUGUAGAGGGGGGUAGAAUUCCAGGUGUAGCGGUGAAAUGCGUAGAGAUCUGGAGGAAUACCGGUGGCGAAGGCGGCCCCCUGGACAAAGACUGACGCUCAGGUGCGAAAGCGUGGGGAGCAAACA
rnacentral:rRNA from 1 species